GAGGGGUUAGGUGCCUUGCUCAAGGGCACUUCAGCCGUGCCUACUGGUCGGGGUUCGAACCGGCAACCCUCCGAUUACAAGUCCUAAGCGCUAACCAGUAGGCCACGGCUGCCCCACAAGUAUACACUAGUGAGGUAUUCCUACUUUUGUGUUAGAUGAGUUGACACUAGUGAGGUGUUCCUACUCUGGUCAGGUGUUAGAUGAGAUGACACUAGUGAGGUGUUCCUACUCUGGUCAGGUGAGAUGACACUAGUGAGGUGUUCCUACUCUGGUCAGGUGUUAGAUGACACUAGUGAGGUGUUCCUACUCUGGUCAGGUGAGAUGACACUAGUGAGGUGUUCCUACUCUGGUCAGGUGUCAGAUGAGAUGACACUAGUGAGGUGUUCCUACUCUGGUCAGGUGUCAGAUGAGAUGACACUAGUGAGGUGUUCCUACUCUGGUCAGGUGAGAUGACACUAGUGAGGUGUUCCUACUCUGGUCAGGUGUUAGAUGACACUAGUGAGGUGCUCCUACUCUGGUCAGGUGAGAUGACACUAGUGAGGUGUUCCUACUCUGGUCAGGUGUGGCUACUUGUGUUUCUGCCUGCUUCCUCCUCCGCCAUCUUGACGCUGCUUCGCUCCGCUCCACUCUGCCCCAGACCUGCAGAUUCCUGACUUUUUCUGCUGUUUUUGUAAAGAAUGUUUUCCUCUUUUUUUAAUCAAAUAAAGGAAAUGUGAACUCUUGAA